GCGUGAAGGAUGAAAUCCCUCGGGAUGUAAACUUCGCAAGAACGGGAAGAAUAAGUGAGAGUUAAUAUCUUUCACGAUGACGGUACUGUUUGUAAGCUCCGGCUAACUCCGUGCCAGCAGCCGCGGUAAUACGGGGGGAGCAAGCGUUGUUCGGAUUUACUGGGCGUAAAGGGCGCGUAGGCGGCCACCGCAAGUCGACUGUGAAAUCUCCGGGCUUAACCCGGAAAGGUCAGCCGAUACUGCGGGGCUAGAGUGCAGAAGGGGCAACUGGAAUUCUCGGUGUAGCGGUGAAAUGCGUAGAUAUCGAGAGGAACACCUGCGGCGAAGGCGGGUUGCUGGGCUGACACUGACGCUGAGGCGCGAAAGCUAGGGGAGCGAACGGGAUUAGAUACCCCGGUAGUCCUAGCCUUAAACGAUGAAUGCUUGGUGUCUGGGGUUUUAUAGUCCCCGGGUGCCGUCGCUAACGCUUUAAGCAUUCCGCCUGGGGAGUACGGUCGCAAGACUGAAACUCAAAGGAAUUGACGGGGACCCGCACAAGCGGUGGAGCAUGUGGUUUAAUUCGACGUAACGCGAAGAACCUUACCUGGGCUAGAAUGCCUCUGACCGGCGUAGAGAUACGCUUUCCUGGGUAAAACCAGGCAGAGUGCAAGGUGCUGCAUGGCUGUC
rnacentral:rRNA from 1 species